AUUGAACGCUGGCGGCAUGCCUUACACAUGCAAGUCGAACGGCAGCCGGGACUUCGGUCCGCCGGCGAGUGGCGAACGGGUGCGUAAUGCAUCGGAACGUACCCGGAAGUGGGGGAUAACGUAGGGAAAGUUACGCUAAUAACGCAUAUUCUGUGAGCAGGAAAGAGGGGGAUCUUCGGACCUCUUGCUUUCGGUGCGGCCGAUGGCAGAUUAGCUAGUUGGUGAGGUAAAGGCUCACCAAGGCGACGAUCUGUAGCGGGUCUGAGAGGAUGAUCCGCCACACUGGAACUGAGACACGGUCCAGACUCCUACGGGAGGCAGCAGUGGGGAAUUUUGGACAAUGGGCGCAAGCCUGAUCCAGCCAUGCCGCGUGAGUGAAGAAGGCCUUCGGGUUGUAAAGCUCUUUCGGCCGGGAAGAAAUCGCAUGGAUUAAUACUCUGUGCGGAUGACGGUACCGGCAUAAGAAGCACCGGCUAACUACGUGCCAGCAGCCGCCGUAA
rnacentral:rRNA from 1 species